AUGUCUACGGCAACACCGCUCUUCAUGAUGUUAAUCAUUAAGGAUGUCUACGGCAACACCGCUCUUCAUGAUGUUAAUCAUUAAGGAUGUCUACGGCAACACCGCUCUUCAUGAUGUUAAUCAUUAAGGAUGUCUACGGCAACACCGCUCUUCAUGAUGUUAAUCAUUAAGGAUGUCUACGGCAACACCGCUCUUCAUGAUGUUAAUCAUUAAGGAUGUCUACGGCAACACCGCUCUUCAUGAUGUUAAUCAUUAAGGAUGUCUACGGCAACACCGCUCUUCAUGAUGUUAAACAUUAAGGAUGUCUACGGCAACACCGCUCUUCAUGAUGUUAAACAUUAAGGAUGUCUACGGCAACACCGCUCUUCAUGAUGUUAAUCAUUAAGGAUGUCUACGGCAACACCGCUCUUCAUGAUGUUAAACAUUAAGGAUGUCUACGGCAACACUGCUCUUCAUGAUGUUAAACAUUAAGGAUGUCUACGGCAACACUGCUCUUCAUGAUGUUAAACAUUAAGGAUGUCUACGGCAACACUGCUCUUCAUGAUAUUAAUCAUUAAGGAUGUCUACGGCAACACUGCUCUUCAUGAUCAUUAAGGAUGUCUACGGCAACACUGCUCUUCAUGAUGUUAAACAUUAAGGAUGUCUACGGCAACACUGCUCUUCAUGAUGUUAAUCAUUAAGGAUGUCUACGGCAACACUGCUCUUCAUGAUGUUAAACAUUAAGGAUGACUACGGCAACACUGCUCUUCAUGAUAUUAAUCAUUAAGGAUGUCUACGGCAACACUGCUCUUCAUGAUGUUAAACAUUAAGGAUGUCUACGGCAACACUGCUCUUCUUGAUGUUAAUCAUUAAGGAUGUCUACGACAACACUGCUCUUCAUGAUGAUGUGUAUAAUAAGGGGACUUCACUGGCAGGAAAACUGCUUUCCCACCAUGCAAAUAUUGAAGCACUAAACAAGGAGGGAAAUACACCACUUUUGCUUGCUAUAAUUUGUAAGAGACAGCAAAUGGUGGAAUUUUUAGUAAAGAACCAGUAGAGACGGGGUUUCACCGUGUUCGCCAGGAUGGUCUCGAUCUACUGAACUUGUAAUCCGCCCGCCUCGGCCUCCCAAAGUGCUGGGAUUACAGGCGUGAGCCACCGCGCAUGGCUUGUGAUGCCUUUACUGACUCAGAUCCCUCACUCUUCGUGUGACUCACACGCAAAGCUCACAGCCACUGUGUUUUUUAGUUCCUGUACAUAUGUUCAGCCAUUGUUCCCAGCACGCUGCUCCGCCAGCAAGGCCUCCUGGCUUUAUCCACACACAGAGUAAGUAAAGCGACCCCUGCUGUAACACUAAAAACCUUAUUUCUUGCCCACCUCUUAGCUAGGCUGAGCCUAGACCCUGAUGGUAAGUUAUCCUUUGAGACCUGUGUUCAUCUUUUCUCUAGCAAAUUCAGUUGGGCUUGUUCUCAGCAGUCAGGGACGUUCAAAUAAUGUUGCAGGAAGAGAUCAGAGCUCCCUUUCCCUUUUGUUAUCACAUCUGUACCUUGAGGUUUUUUUCUGUCCGGUGUGGCAGCUUUUGUUAGAUAGCAGAAGGCUCCACAUUAUCCUUCAAUAGAGUCGUGGGCACCAACUUGCAGUUGGCCCCUCAAGUAAUGUGUUUCCAUAAUAAUGAAAAUCUCUCAGGCUACUUGCAUCUCUACUUCAAGUUUUUAAAAUAUUUUAAAAUUCUACCUCACAGGAAGUCAUUCAAUAGAAUUCUCUGUAUCUAAAGUAGGUAAUUUGGAUUUAACAGAGCUAAGCUCAUCCAUGACUCAUGAGUGUCCAUGUAUAAAACAGGGCUUUAUACUUGUUUCAGCAGCACAUAUUCUAAGACUGGAUCAAUACAGAGCAGAUAAGCAUGGCUGCUGCCUAAGGAUGGCACACAGAUUCAGAAAGCAUUCCACAUUUUGCACAGUCCCAAGAAGGUCAUUUGACUAUUUGUUAACUAGCUCCAAGGAAACAGUGCAAGUCAGACCAAAACAGGAGACAUCUAAUAUUGAAAUUGUUGUUACUAUUAUUAUAAAAGUAUUCACGUAAGGUGAUCUGUGAAAUGAGAACAGCGCUGAGUAUGGGAUGUUACAUGCAAAUAUGUUGUUAGUCCAAGACUUGGAAAUGAGGAAACGUUAACUUGCAUCUCUUUCAUGGAACCAAAAAACAAGACAAGCCAGGUUUUGUCUUGUAUGUCAGUUGGAGAGAACCAAGAAGAUGCGGCCUCUAACACAGACCUGCUGGCUCUGAGUUUGAGGAAGUAGAGAAGGAAUGGUAGUUGUCCCAGCCAGGUUUUGACAUUUAUGAGUUUUCUGCCCUUGGUAUGAUUGAUGAGCUCAGGAAUAGUGAACAAUUAGGUAAUCUAUUUUAAUGAGAUAAUAAUAUAUUUAUAUAUAAAUUUAGUUACAAGUUAUGAAUUAGCUAAAAUGCCCUGAACUACAAGCCACAAUGAAUAGAACUGAUAACCAAAAUUAGCACUUAGUAACAUUUUCUGAAAACUGUGACAUUCAAAUAUUAG